rnacentral:rRNA from 1 species
GGCAUAACCCCGGGAAACUGGGGAUAAUUCCUGAUAACGCACAUAUGCUGGAAUGCUUUAUGCGUAAAAUGGAUUCGUCUGCCCAAGGAUGGGUCUGCGGCCUAUCAGGUAGUAGUGGGUGUAAUGUACCUACUAGCCAACAACGGGUACGGGUUGUGAGAGCAAGAGCCCGGAGAUGGAUUCUGAGACAUGAAUCCAGGCCCUACGGGGCGCAGCAGGCGCGAAAACUUUACAAUGCGGGAAACCGUGAUAAGGGGACACCGAGUGCCAGCAUCAUAUGCUGGCUGUCCAGGUGUGUAAACUACACCUGUUAGCAAGGGCCGGGCAAGACCGGUGCCAGCCGCCGCGGUAACACCGGCGGCCCGAGUGGUGAUCGUGAUUAUUGGGUCUAAAGGGUCCGUAGCCGGUUUGGUCAGUCCUCCGGGAAAUCUGAUAGCUCAACUAUUAGGCUUUCGGGGGAUACUGCCAGGCUUGGAACCGGGAGAGGUAAGAGGUACUACAGGGGUAGGAGUGAAAUCUUGUAAUCCCUGUGGGACCACCUGUGGCGAAGGCGUCUUACCAGAACGGGUUCGACGGUGAGGGACGAAAGCUGGGGGCACGAACCGGAUUAGAUACCCGGGUAGUCCCAGCCGUAAACGAUGCUCGCUAGGUGUCAGGCAUGGCGCGACCGUGUCUGGUGCCGCAGGGAAGCCGUGAAGCGAGCCACCUGGAAGUACGGCCGC